GAGUUUGAUCAUGGCUCAGAACGAACGCUGGCGGCAGGCCUAACACAGCAAGUCGAACGAGAAGCCACCUUCGGGUGGUGGACAGUGGCAGACGGGUGAGUAACGCGUGGGAACGUGCCUUUCGGUUCGGAAUAACCCAGGGAAACUUGGGCUAAUACCGAAUACGCCCUUCGGGGGAAAGAUUCAUCGCCGAAAGAUCGGCCCGCGUCGGAUUAGCUUGUUGGUGGGGUAAUGGCCUACCAAGGCGACGAUCCGUAGCUGGUCUGAGAGGAUGACCAGCCACACUGGGACUGAGACACGGCCCAGACUCCUACGGGAGGCAGCAGUGGGGAAUAUUGGACAAUGGGCGAAAGCCUGAUCCAGCCAUGCCGCGUGGGUGAAGAAGGCCUUAGGGUUGUAAACCCCUUUCAGCGGGGAAGAUAAUGACGGUACCCGCAGAAGAAGCCCCGGCUAACUCCGUGCCAGCAGCCGCGGUAAUAC
rnacentral:rRNA from 1 species